rnacentral:tRNA from 1 species
UUCCUGAUAGCUUAAUUGGUAGAGCGCAUGGCUGUUAACCAUAAGGUUGCGGGUUCGAAUCCUGCUCAGGAAG